UAUAAGACCUGGGAUAACUUCGGGAAACCGGGAGCUAAUACCCGGAUAAUAUUUUGAACCUGCAUGGUUCAAAAGUGAAAGACGGUCUUGCUGUCACUUAUAGAUGGAUCCGCGCUGCAUUAGCUAGUUGGUAAGGUAACGGCUUACCAAGGCAACGAUGCAUAGCCGACCUGAGAGGGUGAUCGGCCACACUGGAACUGAGACACGGUCCAGACUCCUACGGGAGGCAGCAGUAGGGAAUCUUCCGCAAUGGGCGAAAGCCUGACGGAGCAACGCCGCGUGAGUGAUGAAGGUCUUCGGAUCGUAAAACUCUGUUAUUAGGGAAGAACAUAUGUGUAAGUAACUGUGCACAUCUUGACGGUACCUAAUCAGAAAGCCACGGCUAACUACGUGCCAGCAGCCGCGGUAAUACGUAGGUGGCAAGCGUUAUCCGGAAUUAUUGGGCGUAAAGCGCGCGUAGGCGGUUUUUUAAGUCUGAUGUGAAAGCCCACGGCUCAACCGUGGAGGGUCAUUGGAAACUGGAAAACUUGAGUGCAGAAGAGGAAAGUGGAAUUCCAUGUGUAGCGGUGAAAUGCGCAGAGAUAUGGAGGAACACCAGUGGCGAAGGCGACUUUCUGGUCUGUAACUGACGCUGAUGUGCGAAAGCGUGGGGAUCAAACAGGAUUAGAUACCUGGUAGUCCACGCCGUAAACGAUGAGUGCUAAGUGUUAGGGGGUUUCCGCCCCUUAGUGCUGCAGCUACGCAUUAAGCACUCCGCCU
rnacentral:rRNA from 1 species